rnacentral:rRNA from 2 species
UGGUAUUGAUUGGUGCUUGCAUCAUGAUUUACAUUUGAGUGAGUGGCGAACUGGUGAGUAACACGUGGGAAACCUGCCCAGAAGCGGGGGAUAACACCUGGAAACAGAUGCUAAUACCGCAUAACAACUUGGACCGCAUGGUCCGAGUUUGAAAGAUGGCUUCGGCUAUCACUUUUGGAUGGUCCCGCGGCGUAUUAGCUAGAUGGUGGGGUAACGGCUCACCAUGGCAAUGAUACGUAGCCGACCUGAGAGGGUAAUCGGCCACAUUGGGACUGAGACACGGCCCAAACUCCUACGGGAGGCAGCAGUAGGGAAUCUUCCACAAUGGACGAAAGUCUGAUGGAGCAACGCCGCGUGAGUGAAGAAGGGUUUCGGCUCGUAAAACUCUGUUGUUAAAGAAGAACAUAUCUGAGAGUAACUGUUCAGGUAUUGACGGUAUUUAACCAGAAAGCCACGGCUAACUACGUGCCAGCAGCCGCGGUAAUACGUAGGUGGCAAGCGUUGUCCGGAUUUAUUGGGCGUAAAGCGAGCGCAGGCGGUUUUUUAAGUCUGAUGUGAAAGCCUUCGGCUCAACCGAAGAAGUGCAUCGGAAACUGGGAAACUUGAGUGCAGAAGAGGACAGUGGAACUCCAUGUGUAGCGGUGAAAUGCGUAGAUAUAUGGAAGAACACCAGUGGCGAAAGCGGCUGUCUGGUCUGUAACUGACGCUGAGG